UUUUGACCUGCCUGUGUUUCUAUCUGUUCCAGUCUUCAACAAAUGGCAGAUGAACCCAUAUGACAGAAGCACAGCUUUCGCCAUUGGACCAGACGGACUGUGUUGUCAAAGCAGGGAGUUUAAAGAAUGGCACGGCUGUCGCUCUACCAAAGCAAUCACCAAGGGGAAGUACUACUAUGAGGUAUCAUGUCACGACCAGGGCCUGUGUAGAUCGGCUGGUCUACCAGCCAGGCACUUUGGACUUAGGCA